CCUACGGGUGGCAGCAGUGGGGAAUAUUGCACAAUGGGGGGAACCCUGAUCCAGCGACGCCGCGUGAGUGAAGAAGUAUUUCGGUAUGUAAAGCUCUAUCAGCAGGGAAGAAAGAAAUGACGGUACCUGAAUAAGCAGCCCCGGAUAACUACGGGCCAGCAGCCGCGGUACUACGUAGGGGGCCAGCGUUCUCCGGAUUUACGGGGUGUAAAGGGAGCGUAGACGGCGAUGCAAGUCUGAAGUGAAAGGCGGGGGCUCAACCCCGGGACUGCGUUGGAAACUGUAUGGCUGGAGUGCAGGAGAGGUAAGUGGAAUUCCUAGUGUAGCGGUGAAAUGCGUAGAUAUUAGGAGGAACACCAGUGGCGAAGGCGGCUUACUGGACUGUAACUGACGUUGAGGCUCGAAAGCGUGGGGAGCAAACAGGAUUAGAUACCCUUGUAGUC
rnacentral:rRNA from 1 species